rnacentral:rRNA from 1 species
AUUGAACGCUGGCGGCAUGCCUUACACAUGCAAGUCGAACGGUAACAGGUCUUCGGAUGCUGACGAGUGGCGAACGGGUGAGUAAUACAUCGGAACGUGCCCAGACGUGGGGGAUAACGAGGCGAAAGCUUUGCUAAUACCGCAUACGAUCUAAGGAUGAAAGCAGGGGACCGCAAGGCCUUGUGCGUUUGGAGCGGCCGAUGGCAGAUUAGGUAGUUGGUGGGAUAAAAGCUUACCAAGCCGACGAUCUGUAGCUGGUCUGAGAGGACGACCAGCCACACUGGGACUGAGACACGGCCCAGACUCCUACGGGAGGCAGCAGUGGGGAAUUUUGGACAAUGGGCGAAAGCCUGAUCCAGCAAUGCCGCGUGCAGGAUGAAGGCCUUCGGGUUGUAAACUGCUUUUGUACGGAACGAAAAGGCUCUGGCUAAUACCUGGGGCACAUGACGGUACCGUAAGAAUAAGCACCGGCUAACUACGCG